UACGUAGGGUGCAAGCGUUGUCCGGAAUUAUUGGGCGUAAAGAGCUCGUAGGUGGCCUGUCGCGUCGGCUGUGAAAACUCGGGGCUCAACUCCGAGCUUGCAGUCGAUACGGGCAGGCUAGAGUUCGGCAGGGGAGACUGGAAUUCCUGGUGGUAGCGGUGAAAUGCGCAGAUAUCAGGAGGAACACCGAUGGCGAAGGCAGGUCACUGGCCGCAACUGACGCUGGAGGAGCGAAAGCAUGGGGAGCGAACAGG
rnacentral:rRNA from 1 species